UGUUUGAAUUGGAGACUCUAAGUUCUUUGC
rnacentral:piRNA from 1 species